AUUGAACGCUGGCGGCAGGCCUAACACAUGCAAGUCGAGCGGAUGAAGGGAGCUUGCUCCUGGAUUCAGCGGCGGACGGGUGAGUAAUGCCUAGGAAUCUGCCUGGUAGUGGGGGAUAACGUCCGGAAACGGGCGCUAAUACCGCAUACGUCCUGAGGGAGAAAGUGGGGGAUCUUCGGACCUCACGCUAUCAGAUGAGCCUAGGUCGGAUUAGCUAGUUGGUGGGGUAAAGGCCUACCAAGGCGACGAUCCGUAACUGGACUGAGAGGAUGAUCAGUCACACUGGAAGUGAGACAGGGUCCAGACUCCUACGGGAGGGAGCAGUGGGGAAUGUUGGGCAAUGGGCGAAAGUCUGAUCCAGCCAUGCCGCGUGUGUGAAGAAGGUCUUCGGAUUGUAAAGCACUUUAAGUUGGGAGGAAGGGCAGUAAGUUAAUACCUUGCUGUUUUGACGUUACCAACAGAAUAAGCACCGGCUAACUUCGUG
rnacentral:rRNA from 1 species